GGCGGGGUGUGCACGCGACGUCACUCGAGGAGAUUCUCGGUUACCUCAGGACGGGUUCCUCCUUAGGAAGGAAGGAAAGAUCUGAGAGCCCAUUCUAGGUUUACAAUCCUUUGGUUUACAGUACAAGCAGCUCAGUACAAGCAGCUAUUUCCCCUCCUCCAAAUAGUAAAGGAACAGAGUGGUGGUGCAUAUACUCAGCACGUUGUAUGCGGACCUUGUUCAGAUACCCUACAGAGGUUCACAUGCAACUGUCUAGGCUCCAAAUCCCAAAUCAGCAUGCUAAGCCAAAAUUUAAAAUGCUGGGAAGGUACCUGACAGAGCUGUGAUGCA